rnacentral:rRNA from 1 species
AUUGAACGCUGGCGGCAGGCCUAACACAUGCAAGUCGAACGGUAACAGGAAGAAGCUUGCUUCUUUGCUGACGAGUGGCGGACGGGUGAGUAAUGUCUGGGAAACUGCCUGAUGGAGGGGGAUAACUACUGGAAACGGUAGCUAAUACCGCAUAACGUCGCAAGACCAAAGAGGGGGACCUUCGGGCCUCUUGCCAUCGGAUGUGCCCAGAUGGGAUUAGCUAGUAGGUGGGGUAACGGCUCACCUAGGCGACGAUCCCUAGCUGGUCUGAGAGGAUGACCAGCCACACUGGAACUGAGACACGGUCCAGACUCCUACGGGAGGCAGCAGUGGGGAAUAUUGCACAAUGGGCGCAAGCCUGAUGCAGCCAUGCCGCGUGUAUGAAGAAGGCCUUCGGGUUGUAAAAUACUUUCAGCGGGGAGGAAGGGAGUAAAGUUAAUACCUUUGCUCAUUGACGUUACCCGCAGAAGAAGCACCGGCUAACUCCGUG